rnacentral:rRNA from 1 species
CAGCCGCCGCGGUAAUACGGAGGGUGCAAGCGUUAAUCGGAAUUACUGGGCGUAAAGCGCACGCAGGCGGUCUGACAAGUCAGAUGUGAAAUCCCCGGGCUUAACCUGGGAACUGCAUUUGAAACUGUCAGGCUGGAGUCUUGUAGAGGGGGGUGGAAUUCCAGGUGUAGCGGUGAAAUGCGUAGAGAUCUGGAGGAAUACCGGUGGCGAAGGCGGCCCCCUGGACAAAGACUGACGCUCAGGUGCGAAAGCGUGGGGAGCAAACAGGAUUAGAUACCCGUGUAGUCCCUGUCUCUUAUAC